rnacentral:rRNA from 1 species
UAGGGAAUCUUCCGCAAUGGGCGAAAGCCUGACGGAGCAACGCCGCGUGAGUGAUGAAGGUCUUCGGAUCGUAAAACUCUGUUAUUAGGGAAGAACAAAUGUGUAAGUAACUAUGCACGUCUUGACGGUACCUAAUCAGAAAGCCACGGCUAACUACGUGCCAGCAGCCGCGGUAAUACGUAGGUGGCAAGCGUUAUCCGGAAUUAUUGGGCGUAAAGCGCGCGUAGGCGGUUUUUUAAGUCUGAUGUGAAAGCCCACGGCUCAACCGUGGAGGGUCAUUGGAAACUGGAGAACUUGAGUGCAGAAGAGGAAAGUGGAAUUCCAUGUGGAGCGGUGAAAUGCGCAGAGAUAUGGAGGAACACCAGUGGCGAAGGCGACUUUCUGGUCUGUAACUGACGCUGAUGUGCGAAAGCGUGGGGAUCAAACAGG